rnacentral:rRNA from 1 species
UAGGGAAUCUUCGGCAAUGGGGGGAACCCUGACCGAGCAACGCCGCGUGAGUGGAGAAGGUUUUCGGACCGUAAAGCUCUGUUGUUAAGGAAGAACGAGUGUGAGAAUGGAAAGUUCAUACUGUGACGGUACUUAACCAGAAAGGGACGGCUAACUACGUGCCAGCAGCCGCGGUAAUACGUUGGUCCCGAGCGUUGUCCGGAUUUAUUGGGCGUAAAGCGAGCGCAGGCGGUUAGAUAAGUCUGAGUUUAAAGGCAGUGGCUCAACCAUUGUAGGCUUUGGAAACUGUUUAACUUGAGUGCAGAAGGGGAGAGUGGAAUUCCAUGUGUAGCGGUGAAAUGCGUAGAUAUAUGGAGGAACACCGGUGGCGAAAGCGGCUCUCUGGUCUGUAACUGACGCUGAGGCUCGAAAGCGUAGGGAGCGAACAGGAUUAGAUACCCUGGUAGUCCACGCCGUAAACGAUGAGUGCUAGGUGUUAGGUCCUUUCCGGGACUUAGUGCCGCAGCUAACGCAUUAAGCACUCCGCCUGGGGAGUACGACCGCAAGGUUG